rnacentral:piRNA from 1 species
UGCACUUCUCUGGUGAUUAACCGAUGUGC